AACCUCCGCAAUGUGAGAAAUCGCGACGGGGGGAUCCCAAGUGCCAUUCUUAACGGGAUGGCUUUUCAUUAGUGUAAAGAGCUUUUGGAAUAAGAGUUGGGCAAGACCGGUGCCAGCCGCCGCGGUAACACCGGCAGCUCUAGUGGUAACAAUUUUUAUUGGGCCUAAAGCGUCCGUAGCCGGUUUAAUAAGUCUCUGGUGAAAUCCUGCAGCUUAACUGUGGGAAUUGCUGGAGAUACUAUUAGACUUGAGACCGGGAGAGGUUAGAGGUACUCCCAGAGUAGAGGUGAAAUUCUGUAAUCCUGGGAGGACCGCCUGUUGCGAAGGCGUCUAACUGGAACGGUUCUGACGGUGAGGGACGAAAGUUAGGGGCGCGAACCGGAUUAGAUACCCGGGUAGUCCUAACUGUAAACGAUGCGGACUUGGUGUUGGGGUGGCUUUGAGCUGCUUCAGUGCCGAAGGGAAGCUGUAAGUCCGCCGCCUGGGAAGUACGGUCGCAAGACUGAAACUUAAAGGAAUU
rnacentral:rRNA from 1 species